rnacentral:lncRNA from 1 species
ACCCACUGUGCCUCUGCUGACAGCCCCUUGCGCCCCAUCACCUGCAGCCAUGGGGCAGAGAGAGAGCGUGUGGGGCGGGGGGCGGACCCACGGAAUCCCCCUGCCCCACAUCCUGCCCCACAGAAUCCCCCUGCCCCACAUCUCGAGCCUUGGAAUCCCCCUGCCCCACAUCCUGAGCCGCAUCCCACUGCACCUCUGCCAAGGGCCCCUUGCGCCCCAUCACCUGCAGCCAUGGGGCAGAGACAGCGUGUGGGGCAGACCCACAUCAUCUCCCUGCCCCACAUCCUGCCCCACGGAAUCCCCCUGCCCCACAUCCUGAGCCUUGGAAUCCCCCACAUCCACCCCCUGCGCCUCUGCCAAGGGCCCCUUGCGCCCCAUCACCUGCAAGGGGGGCAGACCCACAUCAUCCCCCUGCCCCACAUCCUGCCCCACGGAAUCCCCCUGCCCCACAUCCUGAGCCACGG